GAUGAACGCUGGCGGCGUGCCUAAUACAUGCAAGUCGAGCGAACAGAUAAGGAGCUUGCUCCUUUGAAGUUAGCGGCGGACGGGUGAGUAACACGUGGGUAACCUACCUAUAAGACUGGAAUAACUUCGGGAAACCGGAGCUAAUGCCGGAUAACAUUUGGAACCGCAUGGUUCUAAAGUAAAAGAUGGUUUUGCUAUCACUUAUAGAUGGACCCGCGCCGUAUUAGCUAGUUGGUAAGGUAACGGCUUACCAAGGCAACGAUCAGUAGCCGGCCUGAGAGGGUGACCGGCCACAUUGGGACUGAGACACGGCCCAA
rnacentral:rRNA from 1 species